rnacentral:rRNA from 1 species
GGACUACCGGGGUUUCUAAUCCUGUUUGCUCCCCACGCUUUCGCACCUCAGUGUCAGUAUCGGACCAGUGAGCCGCCUUCGCCACCGGUGUUCUUCCAAAUAUCUACGAAUUUCACCUCUACACUUGGAAUUCCACUCACCUCUUCCGAACUCAAGACAGCCAGUAUGAAAGGCAGUUCCGAGGUUGAGCCUCGGGAUUUCACCCCUCACUUAACUGUCCACCUACGUGCGCUUUACGCCCAGUAAAUCCGAACAACGCUAGCCCCCUUCGUAUUACCGCGGCUGCUGGCAC